rnacentral:tRNA from 1 species
GGUUGAUGGGGUCAUUUGAGUUUAUGUUAAGGGCCCAUAGCUCAGGCGGUUAGAGUGCACCCCUGAUAAGGGUGAGGUCGGUAGUUCGAAUCUACCUGGGCCCACCAUUCAAUCAGGCAAGGGGCCGUAGCUCAGCUGGGAGAGCGCCUGCUUUGCAAGCAGGAUGUCAGCGGUUCGAUCCCGCUCGGCUCCACCAAUUGCGAAUUUAUAGUUUUUUUGUUCUAGGGGAUUUUUUUUUAGAGCAAUAGUUUUUUGAAAAUUGAAUAGAAGGUAGAUUUUUUUGUAUUUUUCAUAUUGGCAUUGUAUGCGAUAUGGGAGGUACCGACGUUGUAUAACCGCACGUUGAAGAUUUAUCUCAGGAAAUUGGUCUAUUGAAAGAGCAUAAUUUAUUUAUGUUUUUUUAAUUAAGAAACGUUUGUAAUGAACUUUAUGACGUAUUGACAAUGAGAGUGAU